GAAUUAUGAAAGUCAAAAAUUAGUUUCUAACUAAAAUUUUUAUAUGAGCA
rnacentral:tRNA from 1 species